UACGUAGGGGGCAGGCGUUGUCCGGAUUUAUUGGGCGUAAAGAGCGUGUAGGCGGCCAGGUAGGUCUGCUGUGAAAACUCGAGGCUCAACCUCGAGAUGUCGGCGGAAACCAUCUGGCUAGAGUCCGGAAGAGGAGAAUGGAAUUCCCGGUGUAGCGGUGAAAUGCGCAGAUAUCGGGAAGAACACCCGUGGCGAAGGCGGUUCUCUGGGACGGUACUGACGCUGAGGCACGAAAGCGUGGGGAGCAAACAGG
rnacentral:rRNA from 1 species